rnacentral:rRNA from 1 species
AUGGCGUCGUCUGAUGCUGGCUUCUCCUUUUUGGGCCUCCCGCGCUUGAUCUUUCUCGGCCUCCCGAGCCCUCUCUUGAUCCCACCAUCUCCAGCUGACCUUGCUACUUUUGCCUUCUUCCUUUCUGUUUCUGUUUCGGCAUCUCCACUUUCAGCAGAAAUCGCUUCCUCUGGCCUCUCCUUUCUUGGCCUCCCACGCCCUCUCUUGACCCCCGCCGACGCAGAAUCUCCAGCUUUUUCACCGGGCGUUGCUGCUCCAGUUUCAGCAGACCUUGCAUCUCCAGCAUCAUCUCCAGUUUCACCAGACAUUGCUGCUUCUUCUGGCUUCUCCUUUCUUGGCCUCCCAAGCUUCUUCACCUUUCUAGGCCUUCCAAGCGGUCUCUUGAUCCCUGUCGAUGCAGCAUUUCCACCUUCAGCAGGCGUUGCUCCUCCAGUUUCAGUAGGGGUUACAUCUCCAGUUUCAGCAUCACCAGUCCCAGCAGGGGUUGCAUCUCCAGUUUCAGCAGAGAUUGAUGCAGGUUGUUUCUCCUUUCUCGGCCUCCCACGCGGUUUCUUGAAUCCGGUUGAAGCAGCAUCUCCAGCUUCAGCAGGCGUUGCUGCUCCAUUUUCAUCAGGCGCUGCAUCUCCAGUUUCUGUAGACGUUGGUGCUGGCGGUCUCUCCUUUCUCGGCCUCCCACGCGGCCUCUUGAUCCCCGCCGACGCACCAUCUCCAGUUUUGGCAGGCGUUGCUGCUGCAUUUUCAUCAGGAGCAGGCGAUGCAUCUCCAGUUUCAGGAGCAGGCAGUGCAUCUCCAGCUUCAGGAGCAGAUACUGCUGCAUCUCUAGUUUCAGAAGCAGGGGCCACACCUCCAGUUUCAGGGCAAGCGUCGCAUUUCCAGUUUCAGGAGCAGGUGCUGCUGCAUCUCCAGCUUCAGCAGACAUUGCUUGUGGUGGUCUCUCCUUUCUCGGUCUCCCACGCGGUUUCUUGA